ensembl:rRNA 5S_rRNA 5S ribosomal RNA
AAGCAUGGCCAUACCACCCGAAAAUGCCUGAUUUUGUCUGAUCUCAAAAGGUAAGCAGGGUCAGACCUGGUUAGUACUUGGAUGGGAGGCUGACUGGAAACACUGGGUGCUAUAGUUU